rnacentral:rRNA from 1 species
GGGAUUGCCUUAGUAACGGCGAGUGAAGCGGCAACAGCUCAAAUUUGAAAUCUGGCCCUCCUGGGGUCCGAGUUGUAAUUUGUAGAGAGUGCUUCGGGGGAGACCGCGGUCUAAGUCCAUUGGAACAUGGCGUCCCAGAGGGUGAGAAUCCCGUAUGUGACCGUGGCUCGAGCCCAUGUGAAGCCUCUUCGACGAGUCGAGUUGUUUGGGAAUGCAGCUCUAAAUGGGUGGUAAAUUUCAUCUAAAGCUAAAUACUGGCUGGAGACCGAUAGCGCACAAGUAGAGUGAUCGAAAGAUGAAAAGCACUUUGGAAAGAGAGUUAAACAGUACGUGAAAUUGUUGAAAGGGAAGCGCUUGCAACCAGACCUGCCCGUAGGCGAUCAACCGCUGUUCUCAGCGGUGCACUCUUUCUGCGAUCAGGCCAGCAUCGGUUCUGGCGGUCGGAUAAAGGCCUUGGGAAUGUAGCUUCCCUUCGGGGGAGUCUUAUAGCCCUCGGUGCAAUGCGGCCAGCCGGGACCGAGGACCGCGCUUCGGCUAGGAUGCUGGCGUAAUGGUUGUAAGCGACCCGUCUUGAAACACGGACCAAGGAGUCUACCAUCUAUGCGAGUGUUUGGGUGUCAAACCCAUGCNCGGAAUGAAAGUGAACGGAGGUGAGAACCCUUAAGGGCGCAUCAUCGACCGAUCCAGAUGUCUUCGGAUGGAUUUGAGUAUGANCAUGGCUGGUGGGACCCG